rnacentral:lncRNA from 1 species
AUGAAAAAAAUUCAAGCUUUCUAGAGUCUUAAAUUGUUCCCACCUCAUUUUAUAAGAGCAAUAUUUUUGUUUUCUUUCUUGUAUCUAAACAGAUCUCAGGACUAUUGCCUGGAAGAGUAACUUUCUCCUCAUUUUAUCUAACUUUUUAUAGACUAUCACCAAAACUCUCAAGAUAGUGUGUGAGGUCUUAUGUGACCAUGAUGGUGGGCCACCCCGGAUACCUUUCAGCAUGUUCCAAUUUCUCUACACGUAUAUUGCCAAAGUGGAUAGGGAGAGCUCUGCAUCACAUGUCAGCCGGAUGCUAAGCUACAUUCAGCAGGAAGUAAUUGGUCCUGAUGGUAUAAUCACAGUGAAUGACUUUACCCAAAACCCCAGGGUUUGGCUGGAGUAAAAGCACAAUUUUGGCAAUUUUAAGGGAAGAUACAGAGAUGCCUGUACUUCAGAAUGACUGAAACCCAUAUACCCUCCAAAAUCAAUUUUCUUGUACAACUGGUACACACGAAUAAACCAUUAAAAAUAUGAAAUCAGAAAUGUAUAAAUUAAGAUGUGAAAUUGUUGGAACAAAACACCUUCAUUACCAGGAGAUUAGUAUUCGUUCCAC